rnacentral:rRNA from 1 species
GGACCGGCUUACUGGUCGUGCCUCUGGUACGUACUGGUAUUGUUGGUUUCUCCCUUCUGAAGAACCAUGAUGUCAUUUAUUUGGUGUUGUGGGGAAUCAGGACUGUUACUUUGAAAAAAUUAGAGUGUUUAAAGCAGGCUCACGCUUGAAUACAUUAGCAUGGAAUAAUGAAAUAGGACGUUUGAUUCUAUUUUGUUGGUUUCUAGGAUCGACGUA